rnacentral:rRNA from 1 species
AGAGUUUGAUCCUGGCUCAGGAUGAACGCUGGCGGCGUGCUUAACACAUGCAAGUCGAACGAAGCGCUUCUGUGGAAGUUUUCGGAUGGAAACAGAAGCGACUGAGUGGCGGACGGGUGAGUAACGCGUGGGUAACCUGCCUCAUACAGGGGGAUAACAGCCGGAAACGGCUGCUAAUACCGCAUAAGCGCACAGUGCCGCAUGGCACCGUGUGAAAAACUCCGGUGGUAUGAGAUGGACCCGCGUCUGAUUAGGUAGUUGGUGCGGUAACGGCGCACCAAGCCGACGAUCAGUAGCCGGCCUGAGAGGGUGACCGGCCACAUUGGGACUGAGACACGGCCCAA